rnacentral:rRNA from 1 species
GACGAACGCUGGCGGCGUGCUUAACACAUGCAAGUCGAACGGAAAGGCCCUGCUUUUGUGGGGUGCUAGAGUGGCGAACGGGUGUGUAACCCGUGAGUAACCUGCCCUUGACUUUGGGAUAACUUCAGGAAACUGGGGCUAAUACCGGAUAGGAGCUCCUGCUGCUUGGUGGGGGUUGGACAGUUUCGGCGGUUGGGGAUAGACUCGCGGUUUACUAGCUUGUUGGUGGGGGAGUGGCUUACCAAGGCUUUGACGGGUAGCCGGCCUGGGAGGGUGACCGGCCACAUUGGGACUGAGAGACGGCCCAGACUCCUACGGGAGGCAGCAGGGGGGAAUAUGGCACAAUGGGCGGAAGCCUGAUGCAGCAACGCCGCGUGCGGGAUGACGGCCUUCGGGUGGUAAACCGCUUUCGCCUGUGACGAAGCGUUAGUGACGGUAAUGGGUAAAGAAGCACCGGCUAACUACGUG